rnacentral:lncRNA from 1 species
UUUAAAAUAACUAUGCUUCUCAUUUUGUUUGCAUUCUUUUCAUGGCAGCUGCAGCCCUUUUUUCACGUUCAAUUCGCAUUCUCAUUUCUGGACUUAAUGAUUGCAAUUCGUCAACUUUUCGAACAUUAUUAAUUCCUAAUGAAUGACCUUCGCCGUGCAGUUUAUCAUAAUCCCUUUUCGAUUGUUCUUCAAUUUUCUGCAUCGCUUCCUUCCGUCUAAGUUCUUCUUGCCUCUCUUUAUCCCUUCUUUGAUUUUCUAAUUUGGUCUUUGCCUUUUGGCGUUGUUUCUGAAUUUGUUCUCUAGACUGAGGAGCCCCAACUUUAGCUGCUUCCCAGUCGAAAAAUGACUCUCCCAACUCAUGCCUUGCAAUUAGAAACUCAUCUUUAACCUCUUUGUUUCCAGUACUAAUCUCAAAAGGUGUCUUUCCGUUCCCAUUUAGCAUUGCUGGAUCAGCACCAUUACGGAGAAGUUUAGCGACUAAUUUAGCAUUUUUUUGGGUAACUGCGUAAUGCAACGGUGUAGAUGUGUGCAAAUGAACAUUUUUAGGAUAAAAUUGAAAAUUUAUAGACAAAUCAUUAGAGCGCAAAUAUUCCAAAAAUGCUUCAAUAUUAGACGCUUUCAAAUUGGAGAUAAUUACUUCGGUAUAUUUAGCAAGCUUUUUCUUUUUCCUCUCUUCCUCUUGUAAUCUGCUUUGUCUAAUUUCCUUUUCAAUUUCGGCUUGUCUCUUUCGUUCUUCUUCUUGAGCUUUUAUCGAAAUUGAAUCAACGUGACUAAUUUUCGGAGUAACCAACUCUUUGUAACAACGAAGUAAUUCUGAAUGUGUGGCUCGUUUAGUAGUAAAUGGAAAUACGCGGAGUUUUGGAUCUUUUGGAGAAAUAAGAGCACCUGGUUGAGAGAAGAAAAUUGAACGAUUAGAUGAACCGAUUGCACGUACAAAGAUUAAAUCGCAUGUUUCUAAUAAUUUUCCCCAGUCUUUAAAAACUUGCUGAAUAUCUUUAAUAAGAGCUUGUUCGUUAUAACGUCGCAAACCACUACCUGCCGAGUGAAUGUUCCCUUUAGUAUUGUCAGCAGCCCCUUGAGAACCACCUUGCUUCCUUCUAGUUGUAUAUCUGUGAAUAGUUUUCUGUGCUAGUACUUUGGGUACAUGGGGAUCACGAGGAUUAAACUCAUUAGAAGCAAUCAUAGCAGCAAAAUGACCGCCUCCAACCAUAAACAUAGCUAGUUGAAGUGGCUUUUGUCGGUUAUGAUUUUGUUGUUGAACAAGUAAAUCUUUAGUGAUAUGGUUAUUACCGGAAAACAUGUGUUUAUAUACACCAAUAUAGGUUGGCACUUCGGCAGAAGCAUUACUCAAUUGAAACCACGUUAAUGGUGAGUUUGUUCGCUGAUUGUUGUUUUCGUCAGCGGAGUCAACUUUUCCUAUGUUCAAGGAUUGUUUAAAAGCCUUCUCUAUUUGGAAAUUAUCUUCUUCGGAUUCUGAGUUUGUCUCGCUUUCACUGCCAGACAGUGAUUCUGGUAAAUCUUCAAUUAUGCUUUCAAAUUCGUCUUGAGAAACCGGAGGCAAUUUUGUAAUUUUUCGCUUCGUAUUGAACCUAUGCCAGUCAGAUUUAAUAUGACUUUUUCUUUCGUCCAGAGUAUGCAGAUUGUCAAUCUGGCAAUUGACACAUGAUGAUAUAUUUUUCUGAGUGGAAUCAACAAUAUCGCCUUGGUUUGACAAAUUAGCACUAUCAGUUUUUUCCUCAACUGAGUAUUCCUCUCGUAGUUCUAGUUUUGCUAAGAUAUCCUCAGGAAGGGAAAAAAUAUUGUGCUUCGAAAUAUCACCCAUGUUUCGAAGAAGACAAGUAAUUAGCAAGAUCUAAAAAUAAUGUAAGCAUUACAAAAUAUGCAAUAAUUUUCAGUAGAAUUUCAAUCUAGCAAUUAGCGUACUUAUACUCAAAAACGAA